rnacentral:rRNA from 1 species
CCUACGGGAGGCAGCAGUGGGGAAUAUUGCGCAAUGGGCGAAAGCCUGACGCAGCGACGCCGCGUGAGGGAUGAAGGUCUUCGGAUCGUAAACCUCUGUCAGCAGGGAAGAACGGUCACUGUGCUAAUCAGCAGUGAAUUGACGGUGCCUGAAAAGGAAGCACCGGCUAACUCCGUGCCAGCAGCCGCGGUCAUACGGAGGGUGCGAGCGUUGAUCGGAAUUACUGGGCGUAAAGCGCUCGUAGGCGGUAUGGCAAGUCAAGGGUGAAAUCCCCGCGCUCAACGUGGGAACUGCCAUUGAAACUGGCAAACUUGAGUGGGUGAGAGGAAAGUGGAAUGCCAGGUGUAGGAGUGAAAUCCGUAGAUAUCUGGAGGAACAUCAGUGGCGAAGGCGACUAUCUGGCACAUAACUGACGCUGAGGAGCGAAAGCGUGGGGAGCAAACAGGAUUAGAUACCCGAGUAGUC